rnacentral:rRNA from 1 species
AACGAACGCUGGCGGCAGGCCUAACACAUGCAAGUCGAACGCUCGUAGCAAUACGAGAGUGGCAGACGGGUGAGUAACACGUGGGAACCUUCCCUAUGGUUCGGAAUAGCUCAGGGAAACUUGAGGUAAUACCGGAUAAGCCCUUCGGGGAAGAUUUAUCGCCAUUGGAUGGGCCCGCGUCGGAUUAGCUAGUUGGUGAGGUAACGGCUCACCAAGGCGACGAUCCGUAGCUGGUCNGAGAGGAUGAUCAGCCACACUGGGACUGAGACACGGCCCAGACUCCUACGGGAGGCAGCAGUGGGGAAUAUUGGACAAUGGGCGCAAGCCUGAUCCAGCCAUGCCGCGUGAGUGACGAAGGUCUUCGGAUUGUAAAGCUCUUUUGGCGGGGACGAUAAUGACGGUACCCGCAGAAUAAG